CAAGUACUCUUUAUUUUUACAAAAAGAGAUAUUUGUUUAAAAAGAAAAAAAAACAUAACUUUUCCUCUAAGGUGGUUAAAAUGUGGGUAGGAAAGCAGUAAUUAUAGUGUAUUGAUAAAUGUUGAAGGAAACCACUGGGAGGGCGUCAUAGAGACCACAGAAGCGACAUGUGAAAGUUGGUUUAGAAGUGGAAGUAAGGAGACAGAAGCAGCUCUAAGCAGCCUCAUUUGUGUGUGUGUAUGUGUGUUUUAAUGGUGAGGAUUUUCGUCCUUGAAUAUCUAAUAGUAUGACAUUUUGAAUGAGUUUACUAGUAUCUUAAGGAGCCAUAGGUCAUUGUUUAGAGAUUAUUUA
rnacentral:lncRNA from 1 species